rnacentral:rRNA from 1 species
CGAAGGGAAACCGAGUCUUAACUGGGCGUUAAGUUGCAGGGUAUAGACCCGAAACCCGGUGAUCUAGCCAUGGGCAGGUUGAAGGUUGGGUAACACUAACUGGAGGACCGAACCGACUAAUGUUGAAAAAUUAGCGGAUGACUUGUGGCUGGGGGUGAAAGGCCAAUCAAACCGGGAGAUAGCUGGUUCUCCCCGAAAGCUAUUUAGGUAGCGCCUCGUGAACUCAUCUUCGGGGGUAGAGCACUGUUUCGGCUAGGGGGUCAUCCCGACUUACCAACCCGAUGCAAACUGCGAAUACCGAAGAAUGUUAUCACGGGAGACACACGGCGGGUGCUAACGUCCGUCGUGAAGAGGGAAACAACCCAGACCGCCAGCUAAGGUCCCAAAGUCACAGUUAAGUGGGAAACGAUGUGGGAAGGCUCAGACAGCCAGGAUGUUGGCUUAGAAGCAGCCAUCAUUUAAAGAAAGCGUAAUAGCUCACUGGUCGAGUCGGCCUGCGCGGAAGAUGUAACGGGGCUAAACUGUGCACCGAAGCUGCGGCAGCGACGCUUAUGCGUUGUUGGGUAGGGGAGCGUUCUGUAAGCCUGCGAAGGUGUCCUGUGAGGGAUGCUGGAGGUAUCAGAAGUGCGAAUGCUGACAUAAGUAACGAUAAUGCGGGUGAAAAGCCCGCUCGCCGGAAGACCAAGGGUUCCUGUCCAACGUUAAUCGGGGCAGGGUGAGUCGACCCCUAAGGCGAGGCCGAAAGGCGUAGUCGAUGGGAAACGGGUUAAUAUUCCCGUACUUGGUGUUACUGCGAAGGGGGGACGGAGAAGGCUAUGUUGGCCGGGCGACGGUUGUCCCGGUUUAAGCGUGUAGGCUGGUUUUCCAGGCAAAUCCGGAAAAUCAAG